rnacentral:rRNA from 1 species
UACGUAGGGUGCGAGCGUUGUCCGGAAUUAUUGGGCGUAAAGAGCUUGUAGGCGGUCUGUCGCGUCUGCUGUGAAAAUCCGGGGCUCAACCCCGGACUUGCAGUGGGUACGGGCAGACUAGAGUGUGGUAGGGGAGACUGGAAUUCCUGGUGUAGCGGUGAAAUGCGCAGAUAUCAGGAGGAACACCGGUGGCGAAGGCGGGUCUCUGGGCCGUAACUGGACGCUGAGGAGCGAAAGCAUGGGGGAGCGAACAGG